rnacentral:rRNA from 1 species
AGCGAACGCUGGCGGCAGGCCUAACACAUGCAAGUCGAACGGAUCCUUCAGGAUUAGUGGCGGACGGGUGAGUAACACGUGGGAACGUGCCCUUUGGUUCGGAACACUCAGGGAAAAUUGAGCUAAUAACGGAUGUGCCCUUUGGGGGAAAGAUUUAUUGCCAUUGGAGCCGCCCGCGUCUGGUUAGCUUGUUGGUGAGGUAAAGGCUCAACAAGGCGACGAUCAGUAGCUGGUCUGAGAGGAUGAACAGCCACAUUGGGACUGAGACACGGCCCAAACUCCUACGGGAGGCAGCAGUGGGGAAUCUUGCGCAAUGGGCGAAAGCCUGACGCAGCCAUGCCGCGUGAAUGAUGAAGGUCUUAGGAUUGUAAAAUUCUUUCACCGGGGACGAUAAUGACGGUACCCGGAGAAGAAGCCCCGGCUAACUUCGUGCCAGCAGCCGCCGUAAUAC